GGUCAGGACGAACGCUGGCGGCGUGCCUAAUACAUGCAAGUCGAACGGUCUUUCUAUGGAAGCUUGCUUCCACUGAGAAGAUAGUGGCGAACGGGUGAGUAACACGUGGGGUAACCUGCCCAUAAGAGGGGGGAUAACAUCCGGAAACGGGUGCUAAUACCGCAUAGUUUUCUUGAUUGCAUGAUUGAGAAAGGAAAGACGGCCUUUGUGCUGUCGCUUAUGGAUGGACCCGCGGCGUAUUAGUUAGUUGGUGAGGUAACGGCUCACCAAGACGAUGAUACGUAGCCGACCUGAGAGGGUGAUCGGCCACAUUGGGACUGAGACACGGCCCAAACUCCUACGGGAGGCAGCAGUAGGGAAUCUUCCGCAAUGGACGAAAGUCUGACGGAGCAACGCCGCGUGAGUGAAAGAAGGUUUUCGGAUCGUAAAACUCUGUUGUCAGAGAAGAACAAGUUGGAGAGUAACUGCUCCAGCCUUGACGGUAUCUGACCAGAAAGCCACGGCUAACUACGUGCCAGCCGCGGC
rnacentral:rRNA from 1 species